CCGUUUAAGCCGCGUCGGCGGCCGCGAGGAGCCCGGGAAGCCUGGGGCGGAGCGGAACCUGUAGCUACCAUGGGAGAUGAAGAUUGGGAGGCAGAAAUCCUCAAACCUCACGUGUCUUCCUACGUUCCCGUAUUUGAGAAGGAUAAACACUCUUCUGGGGCGAAUGGAGACACUUUUAACAGGACUUCAGCUUCAUCAGAAAUGGAAGAUGGACCUUCUGGAAGAGAUCAUUUCAUGAGAAGUGGAUUUCCCUCUGGAAGAAAUUUGGGGAA